rnacentral:rRNA from 1 species
UACGUAGGGGGCUAGCGUUGUCCGGAAUCAUUGGGCGUAAAGAGCGUGUAGGCGGCCCGGUAAGUCCGCUGUAAAAGUCAAAGGCUCAACCUUUGAAUGUCAGUGGAUACUGCCGGGCUAGAGUCCGGAAGAGGCGAGUGGAACUCCUGGUGUAGCGGUGGAAUGCGCAGAUAUCAGGAAGAACACCAACGGCGAAGGCAGCUCGCUAGGACGGUACUGACGCUGAGACGCGAAAGCGUGGGGAGGCGAACAGG